GUAGGGAAUCUUCCACAAUGGGCGCAAGCCUGAUGGAGCAACACCGCGUGAGUGAAGAAGGGUUUCGGCUCGUAAAGCUCUGUUGUUAAAGAAGAACACGUAUGAGAGUAACUGUUCAUACGUUGACGGUAUUUAACCAGAAAGUCACGGCUAACUACGUGCCAGCAGCCGCGGUAAUACGUGGGUGGCAAGCGUUAUCCGGAUUUAUUGGGCGUAAAGAGAGUGCAGGCGGUUUUCUAAGUCUGAUGUGAAAGCCUUCGGCUUAACCGGAGAAGUGCAUCGGAAACUGGAUAACUUGAGUGCAGAAGAGGGUAGUGGAACUCCAUGUGUAGCGGUGGAAUGCGUAGAUAUAUGGAAGAACACCAGUGGCGAAGGCGGCUACCUGGUCUGCAACUGACGCUGAGACUCGAAAGCAUGGGUAGCGAACAGGAUUAGAUACCCGUGUAGUCC
rnacentral:rRNA from 1 species